rnacentral:rRNA from 1 species
CACGUAGGGGCCAAGCGUUGUCCGGAUUUAUUGGGCGUAAAGAGCUCGUAGGCGGUUGGGUAAGUCGGGUGUGAAAACUCCAGGCUCAACUUGGAGACGCCACCCGCUACUGGUCUGACUUGAGUUCGGUAGGGGAGUGGGGAAUUCCUGGUGUAGCGGUGAAAUGCGCAGAUAUCAGGAGGAACACCGGUGGCGAAGGCGCCACUCUGGGCCGAAACUGACGCUGAGGAGCGAAAGCGUGGGUAGCAAACAGG